rnacentral:snRNA from 1 species
GGAUGUGAGGGCGAUCUGGCUGCGACAUCUGUCACCCCAUUGAUCGCCAGGGUUGAUUCGGCUGAUCUGGCUGGCUAGGCGGGUGUCCCCUUCCUCCCUCACCGCUCCAUGUGCGUCCCUCCCGAAGCUGCGCGCUGGGUCGAAGAGGACGACCUUCCCCGAUAGAGGAGAGGACCGUUCUUCGGUCAAGGGUAUACGAGUAGCUGCGCUCCCCUGCUAGAACCUCCAAACAAGCUCCCAAAUGUGCUGUAGGGAAAAGAUCUGACCUUAGUUUUCUACUUU